rnacentral:rRNA from 1 species
AUGACAGAUCAUAGUGAUGAAAGGGUACCAAAGCUUGGCAUGACAUUUUUGUCUCAAGAGGAAGCUUAUUUAUUUUAUAACAAGUAUGCUGAAACUAUCGGUCUCAGCAUCAGAAGAAGUAGUGGCCAUAAAGUGAAGAACUCUUCUGUAUUCCAGCAACACACAUUUACAUGCUCUCGUCAAGGCCACCGGCAAGAAGAUAAAAGAGAGGACACAUUCAGUUACAGUAGGCCUGAAACACGAUGUGGUUGUACUGCUCCUAUGAAGAUAAGCCUUAAAAAUGGUUUUUAUUAUGUGUAUGAAUUUGAGGCAUCACAUAACCACACUCUUGCUCAUGGAAUCAUGGCCCAGUACUUGAGAUCCUACAGAAAAGUAACAGAAGCACAUAUAGCAAAUGCUGAGGUUGCAAAGUCAGUAGGCAUUUCAAAUAAAGCAACAUUCGAUUUGAUGGCCAAGGAAGCAUGUGGAAGUGAAAACCUUGGCUUUAUACGUGAAGAUUUGAAAAAUUGUUUGUACUCAGAGAGAAUAAUAAAAAUCAAAGCAUGGUGA